CAGAAGACCCCUUUAAAGACCCCACUUGGAGUUCCAGGAACCAGAAUACAAGGGCAUUAAACGGCAACACAUGGCAUGCCACACACCGAGACAAAAGCUGGGCAUUCCACACACCAUAAGGGGGUGUUACAUGCCAAUGAAGACCCACCUCCAGGAAUGCAUGCUUCCUGCAUGCAAAACGUGACAUUUCAUAGGAAAAGCAUGUCAAUUGGCCCAAAUUUUAUAAUUAAUCCUUUUUGCUACUCCAAGCCCAUUCAGAAUACAAUUUGAGACCACCAAAUCUUUGAAAAGAAGAUACAAAGUUGAAGAUUUAACGCGGAAGAUUUGAUUUGAUUUGAUUUGAUUUUGUUUUGUUUUUAAAUUUAAGUUUGAAUUUAAUAAUUUAGUUUAUUUUCCCUUAGUAUAUAAGGAUCCUAAAAGCAUCCGAGGGAUUAGCCCUGGGCCAUUUUCUCAUAUUUUUGGUUUUUGUUUUCUCAAGCAUGAGCCACUAAUCUCCUUGGUUAAGAAUGUAGUUAGAUAGACCAACAGUUAUUGAGGUACGAGCAUACGCUUUACAGAUUGGAUCAGGCUGAGCACAUUGCCGGCAGAUUUGAUCGAGUGGUGCCUCGGAUCUUGCGCACCAGACAGAAUUUGAUGAGACACCCGCCUGAGCAGAUUAGACCAUAUCUCAGGUGAGCCGGGUUUGAGCAUGUGGCGUAUAUGGUGGAGUUCAAGCACAAUUGGUCAUUGGCAUCAGCGUUGAUAGAGAGGUGGGGACCUGAGUCCCAUACGUUUCAUCUACCAUGCGGGAAGAUGACUAUCACCCAGCAGGACGUGGCCUACCAAUUGGAACUCAAGAUUGAUGGCAAUCCUGUUGGUGGCUACAUCGGCAGGUGGGAGCAGCACCAUGAUAGAUGGCCAGCGAUUUCUAGCUCAUUUUGGGCCCAAUCCAACUCAAAUCUGAUGCUAUUGAACCCAAGGAUUGAAGGGGGAAUGAACCAAGUAGUCAUGGUUUAGUUUCCAUCAUGUUUUAGGGGUAGAAUUCUAGAGAGAGAGGCUCACUCAUCUCUCUAGAUUUAGGAUAGAAAUUAGGGUAAAGUUAGGUUAAUCACUCUCAAACUUCUCUU